rnacentral:rRNA from 1 species
AACGUAGGUGGCAAGCGUUAUCCGGAUUUACUGGGCGUAAAGGGUGUGCAGGCGGGGUUGCAAGUGGUGUAUGAAAUCUCCCGGCUUAACCGGGAGGGGUUAUGCCAGACUGCAAUUCUAGAGGACGAGAGAGGGGGGGUGGAAUUCCGGGGUGUAGUGGUGAAAUGCGUAGAGAUCCGGAAGAACACCGGUGGCGAAGGCGGCCUGCUGGGCAGUGGCUGACACUGAGGCGCGAC